AACGAACGCUGGCGGCAUGCCUAACACAUGCAAGUCGAACGAGACCUUCGGGCUUAGUGGCGCACGGGUGCGUAACGCGUGGGAACAUGCCCUUAGGUUCGGAAUAACUCCCCGAAAGGGGUGCUAAUAACGGAUAAUGUUUUCGGACCAAAGAUUUAUCGCCUUUGGAUGGGCCCGCGUUGGAUUAGCUAGUUGGUAGGGUAAAAGCCUACCAAGGCGACGAUCCAUAGCUGGUCGGAGAGGAUGAUCAGGCAGACUGGGACUGAGCCACGGCCCCGACUCCUACGGGAGGCAGCAGUGGGGAAUAUUGGACAAUGGGCGAAAGCCUGAGCCAGCAAUGCCGCGUGAGUGAUGAAGGCCUUAUGGUUGUAAAGCGCUUUGACCCGGGAUGAUAAUGACAGUACCUAGAGAAUAAGCUCCGGCUAACUCCGUG
rnacentral:rRNA from 1 species